CGGCUGGUAAGUUCCGCCCCGGGACAGGAAGGGGAGGGCGUCUGGUCUUUCCGUAGGGUUUCCUAGCGCUGGAAGAGGAGGGAAGGCAGCUCGGUGGAUGGGCGAGCUCGCCUCGCCCGCGUGAAGACGUGGGAAUAAAUAUGUGCGUACCCGCCAGCUAAUCAUAGCAUUCAUUCGGGUGAUGGGUCAGAACUUCAAUGUCGUUUUCGAAGCAGGCUUGGGAUACAUGGGACCGUGUCGCAAAAAUAAUGGGCGGAUGAAAAAGCCAGUUCUAGAAAUACCAGUUUGGAAUGCCUUGUACAAGAAAGUAAGGUCAGUGGUUGUUCUGUUUUAUAAAGAAGAAGAACAGGAGGAGGAGGCAUGGGAAGUGGAGUAGGAAAGGGAGUAGAGAAUGAGGAGAAGGGAGAGAGGCCGGCCAGGAACGCGUGAAGAGAGAGGGCGGAGGGGGAAGGGGGCAAAGAGUAAGGGAGAGGAGGGGGCGAACAGCCCCUUUUAUAGUAAGCCGGGCAUACCUCGCUGUUGCCAGGUAACUGUGGGGCGGAGCCUAGAAGGAAUGCUAACAGUGGUGAUGGAUGAGAAUGUGCAAAACGACCCAGGAGCUCUCUUGAAGACUCUACUAGCCAAAUCUGUGAAAUUUCAGUAUCAAAAUAAUAAAGGUAAUAAGAGUAUAACUAAUUGGAGCCCAUGAGAUGGUUCAGAGGUAAAGAUGUUUGCUGCCAAGCCUGUCAACUCUAGUUCAGUCCCCAGAAACCCAGCGGUGGAAGGAAAGGAGUCUGGCAAGUUGUCAUCAGACCUUCACAUGUAUACAGAGACACUUAAUAAAUACAUGGUAAUUUAUUUUAAAACUAAUUAGAUGAACUUGUAACCAAUGAGGGAUUGUUUUUUUUUUACAGUAGCAAGUGCAUUUAUUAUAUUUAAAAAUAACUAGAAAAAUUGGUGUUUUAGCUUUCCAUAUAUAAAAACAUGUGAGUCCAGUGCAACAGUGCUCAGUGCAGGUGAGUGAUUUUGCUGUGCAGCUCCUACAAAGCUGCAUAGCUGUGCUGUUGCAGGGGUGGGGGGAGUGGGGGGUGGAGAGCCGGCACACCUCAUUCUGUAGAACAAGAAGGGACUUCCGUCCUGCCUCGGACAAGCAGUAGCAGUAGCAUUCCUGUGUGUAAGCUGAGGUAGGGCUGGCACACCGGCCUUGUAUCCUGUACUGGAUGGCUUUCAGCUUCUGCUUGCCAGUGUGAAAGCCCAAACGCCAGAUGGCAGGUGAGCCUGCAUCCUCUCCCCAGAGUCCUUGACCUUAUCAAUCUCUAGCUCCACCUGUGGGGGACCUGAGGGAUCGGUCAGAAUACUCCUCCUCCUUCUGUUCCUGGAAAAAGUAAGAUUCUUUGGGGGGUUCUUAGUAUCAUUAAUACAAGAAUUUAGAAGAGACUCAAAGGAAGCUCAGGACAACUUUAUUAGAGUUUGAAAAAAGCAAUCAAGGCUAGUUGAAAACUCUAACAGCUGCCAGAAGAUGGAGAAAAGGUCACACCUUUUAAACUAGGCAUGGAAUAAAAUUAGACAACUUAUCAA
rnacentral:lncRNA from 1 species